rnacentral:rRNA from 1 species
AGAGUUUGGUCAUGGCUCAGAUUGAACGCUGGCGGCGUGCCUUACACAUGCGAGUCUAACGGUAACGCGGGGCUUCCUGGCGACGAGUGGCGAACGGGUGAGUAAUGCAUCGGAACUUGCCCAGUAUUGGGGGAUAGCCCGGCGAAAGCCGGAUUAAUACCGCAUACUACCUACGGGUGAAAGCGGGGGACUCGCAAGAGCCUCGCGCUAUUGGAGCGGCCGAUGUCAGAUUAGCUAGUUGGUGGGGUAAAAGCCUACCAAGGCGACGAUCUGUAGCUGGUCUGAGAGGACGACCAGCCACACUGGGACUGAGACACGGCCCAGACUCCUACGGGAGGCACCAGUGGGGAAUUUUGGACAAUGGGCGCAAGCCUGAUCCAGCCAUGCCACGUGCGGGAAGAAGGCCUUCGGUUUUUUUUUCCGCCUUUGUCACGGAAGAAACGCUCUGGGCUAAUACCCCGGGGUAAUGACGGUACCUGAAGAAUAUGCACCGGCUAACUACGUGCCAGCAGCCUCGGGAGUACGUAGGGUGCAAGCGUUAAUCGGAAUUACUGGGCGUAAAGCUGCGCAAGCGGUUAUGCAAGACAGAUGUGAAAUCCC